rnacentral:tRNA from 1 species
GUCUCUAUGGCUCAGUCGGUAGAGCGUUGGUCUCAUAUCAAAUACACAUAUAUGACUCUAGAUCAUCUAGAGAUAUCCAAAGGUCGCAAGUUCGAGCCUUGCUAGGGACA